GACGAACGCUGGCGGCGUGCUUAACACAUGCAAGUCGAGCGAUGAAUUUUCUUCGGAAAUGGAUUAGCGGCGAACGGGUGAGGAACACGUGAAGAAUCUGCCCUCCACUUUGGGAUAACACAGGGAAACCUGUGCUAAUACCGAAUAUUGAAACAUAAGUGGCAUCACUGAGUUUCGAAAGAAUUUCGGUGGAGGAUGACUUCGCGGCCUAUCAGCUAGUUGGUGAGGUAAUGGCUCACCAAGGCAACGACGGGUAGCCGGCCUGAGAGGGCGACCGGCCACACUGGGACUGAGACACGGCCCAGACUCCUACGGGAGGCAGCAGUGGGGAAUAUUGGGCAAUGGAGGAAACUCUGACCCAGCGACGCCGCGUGCGGGAUGAAGGCCUUCGGGUUGUAAACCGCUUUCAGUAGGGAAGAAGCGAAAGUGACGGUACCUACAAAAGAAGCACCGGCUAACUAUGUGCCAGCCGCCGCGGUAAAAC
rnacentral:rRNA from 1 species